GCCGGGAUGGCCGAAUGGUUAAGGCGGUGAACUUAAAAUCCCAUGGGGUGUCCCCGCAUGGGUUCGAACCCCACUUCCAGCA
rfam:Schistosoma haematobium scaffold386_51, whole genome shotgun sequence.